rnacentral:rRNA from 1 species
AGAGUUUGAUCCUGGCUCAGAGCGAACGCUGGCGGCACGCCUAACACAUGCAAGUCGAGCGAGAAAGUGACUUCGGUCGCGAGUAAAGCGGCGAACGGGUGAGUAUAACGUGGAUAAUCUACCCUAAGGUCUGGGACAACCCCGAGAAAUCGGGGCUAAUACCGGAUAAGACCACAGUAUCCAAGGAUACAGCGGUAAAAGAUUUAUCGCCUUUGGAUGAGUCCACGCCCCAUCAGGUAGUUGGUAAGGUAAAGGCUUACCAAGCCUAAGACGGGUAGCCGGCCUUAGCGGGUGAACGGCCACAUGGGGACUGAGACACGGCCCUGACUCCUACGGGAGGCAGCAGUGGGGAAUAUUGGGCAAUGGGCGAAAGCCUGACCCAGCGAUGCCGCGUGAGGGAUGAAGGCCUUCGGGUUGUAAACCUCUGUCAGGAGGGACGAUGGGACUUUGUCUUGACGGUACCUCCAGAGGAAGCCCCGGCUAACUCCGUGCCAGCAGCCGCGGUAAUACGGAGGGGGCAAGCGUUGCUCGGAAUUACUGGGGCGUAAAGGGUCCGCAGGCUGUCAGGCAAG